rnacentral:lncRNA from 1 species
UCAAAAAAAAAAAAAAACAAAACUUUUUUUUUUAAACAGCAAAGCAAAACAAUGAUAAUGCAAAUAACCGUAGAACACUGUAAGAGAAACAUUUCCUUGGGAAAAUGUGCAUGUAUGCUGUUUGAUUUGGACAUUUUUCCCUGUGUUUCCAUUGCACCCUGGGUGCAGCCUGAGUCAUUGCUUUUGUCUUGCAGCUAGAAGCAUAUGAAAUUGUUGAUGACCAGCUACGUCUAUCAUGCUCACGAUGAAGGUUGCAGCUUCAGUGCUUAUGAAGGCCAGCCCAGUUUGAUCUUUUCAAAGGGGAACAGUAAGUGAUGCUAGAUGUUUUGCUGCAAAUCCCUUGCAACUACUAUGAAAACAUCAAAAUGUGUAUAUGUUAGGGAUGAUGGGUGAACCUUUAUUGUAUGCGUAGGAUUAAAAGUGACAUCCCUGCUUUCGGUAGAAUGUAUGUUUCUAUCAUGGGAAACAUGGAGGUGGAAUCUGGUUAUCAUGUCCACACAUCUGUAACUUUACGUCUCUUUCAAACUACCUCACUGAUGCAGGCUACUAAAGUUUGUGAUAAAUAUGAAAACAGUUUUGGGGUGCAUUAGCUCAUAUUCUUUUCCUCUGACGAGAGACACCAUUGGCAAGAUUUGUUGAUUGGUUGCUUUGUCAAUAGCCCAAGAUGGCUAGCUCUCAUAUUUGUGUUUUUUAACCUAAGUAGCCAAAUGUCUAUUUGUAGGGCUGGAGGAGUUACUUCAAGUAGAAUUUGUAUAUCUUUGUAAGGGAGAAAAACAGGGCGACUUCUAAAAUAACCACCCAGUUGUUCUGUUUCUCUAGGAUUGCAAACACAGAAGCAGUUAUUUAUAUUUAAAACAAAGAGAUUUCUCUAGUACCUUAUAUUUUUUUGUUAUAGUCAAUCCUUCCCAAACACCUCCAGCUUAGUGCCUUACUAUCUUAUAUCAAAAGGAGAAAGUUGAUCUCAAUCCAUGUUAACCCAUAGGAUAAUGAGUUCUUCAGUAGCAGAAUCUGUGUCUUGUUUUCAUUUCAAUCCUGACCCCAACAGAGGAGGUCUCUAGUAGUCUCUUGGGGAAUGUUUGUGGCACUAACCUGGAAAUCUGGUGGAUUGUGUCAAAGAAGCCAAGUUUUAGCACUAGAAGGGACUUCAUCAUCUGUCUAAUUAUUCCUUCUGCCGAUGAAGCAGUUGAACCCUAGUGAAGUUUCAUGCAGAUUAAAAGUGACUCCAUGUUCCUAUUACUCUUCCCUAGAUUGAGCAGGAGGUACUCCUAGUCCAUGAUUGCUGAUUAAUAAACCUAAAAAUCCUCCUAUAAAACAGAAGUGUCAAAAAAAAGUAGAGCGUAAUUAAAAAUCCACUUGAAGCAAGGGAUUAAACAGUGCAGAAUCAAGCUGUCUUAUUGGCAUUGAGAACAUUUUUCUUUUUGGGGGCCGGUACACCACGUUGUUGAUUUUUCCCUUUUGUAAGAGCUAUUUUGGUGCUGUGUCUUGGGAAAAGUCCAAGUUUUCAACAACAAGUUUAGCCUCGAGAGCCUUGUGUAUUGGAGCAGUGAAUAAGGCAAGGUGUCAUAUGCCCAUGACAACUGACAGACCCAGAAAAAAAUCUUCCAUCAGUCGUGUUGUGAUCAUUAGAGCAGGCCAGAGCAAUCCUAUUACUCAGACAGAGGUGGAGGCCGAGCUUCUGUCACCUCAUUGAUGGUACUAAGCCCAGACUCAAUUCUGGCUCCAGCCUCAUUCAGCUGAGUUAUCACAGCUGCUUUUUUUUUUUUUUUUUUAAUAGCUCUUAGAUUCUGGUUAAGAAUCAUCUUAGGCUCUCUUGAGAACAGACAUGAACCUGAUGUUGCUGGCGUUCCCCAAGCCUGCUUAAUUCUCUCCUACUCCAUUUCCAGACCAACUUGGAGCCUUAGAUCUUUCUGGUUGGAUUCCAGACCCUGCAAUGUGGGUUUGCAGUGAUGUGGGGACAAUCAGAGAACUAGAACCUGGUUGCCACAUUUUUCUACUCUCCAGCCUUCUGUUUUAGAUAGUCCUUCAGCCUCUGAUCUUCUAGUAAUUGGCUAGGUAACCUGGACUCUGUUCUUUCCUAGGUAAAUAGAGUUGGGAGUGAAUGAUCCUCCAGGUCAUUUCUGCCUGUAUCUUAUGGUCUCUGCCUGGCCUUUUAUCUGUCAAGGCAAUAACAUCUAAUUGGAGGUGUAGGUUUACCUGAUAACUCUGCCUUUUCCUCCGCCUUUGUCACUUAUUUCUGUUCCUCCAAGAAAUGCAGUGAGCUGAAAUGAUUAUCUCACUUUCUUGGUGUAUGUAUGUGUGUAUAUGUGCAUAUACACAUACAUGCACACACAUGCACACGUUUUAUAUAUAUAUAAAACAAAUUAUAUAAAUAUAUAUAUAUAUGAAACAAAUUGCUACUGGAAUUUCUCUAAAAUUUGUAUAUUUUCUAUAUGGGAUUCGUUGUGGUAUGUUUUUUAAAAGCUUUCCAUUUGUAAAAGUUUUGACCAAUAAAUGUGUUUUUAUGCCUGAGUGAUAAUGUAUGAGUGUGGCUUUCAACCUGGAUAGAAUGUUUUUCAUCUCCCACACUUUGGCGAGGCUGAAUUAAUUUAGACUUGAGGAUGAAUAUCGGCGAGGAAACUGGUGUGAAACUGUGAGAAUUGCAAAUUGUCAGAGUGAGGAGUCAGUACUUUAAAUUCUCUUGAUGGAAUAUAAAAUACAGCAGAAAGCGGGGGCGGGGUUAACUGACAACUGCAGGUGGACAGGAAUGAAAGAAGAACUGGGGCUGGCAGGAGGAAACGAGUCCGCCAACUGCCGUGGUCUCAUGUGCCUGGAGAAACAAAGAGGCUCCUCGGAUUCAGAAAUAUUCAAAAACUAGUAGAAAAGAUUGAAAAUUACAAAUCAAGUCAAUCACUGCUAAUGGGCAUGGGGUUUCUUUUGGGGUGAUGAAAAAUGUUCUAAAAUUAAUCAUGGUCAUGGUUGCACAAUGCUGCGAAUAUACUACCCCCCUGAAAUUCUCCUUUUUAAGUGGGUAAAUUUGAUGGUAUGUGAAUUAUAUCUCAAUAAAGCUGUGGUAUAAAAUCUAGUCAGUCAGACACUAGCCAAAACAAUGGAAGAAGGUAAAAGUGAAAUUCCUUUCUGGGUCAAGAAUGAAGUUGCCUCCCUUUGGAUGUCAGCGCCUUGUAGGACGAAGCUUCUACCUUGAUUUGUGAGGCCUGUUUGUGUUCCUGGUGUUCAUCAUCAAAAUCAGUGUUUUCAAUACUCUUUUUAAAGUAUUUUAGCCAGAUACAGUGGCUCACUCCUGAAAAAUUAGCCAGGCGUGGUGGCAGGUGCCUGUAAUCCCAGCUACUCUGGAGCCUAAGACAGGAGAACUGCUGGAACCCAGGAGACGGAGGUUGCAGUGAGCCGAGAUCGCACCACUGCACUCCAGCCUGGGUGACGGAGCAAGACGCCAUCUUGAAAAAAAAAAAAAAAAAAGAAGAAGUAUUUUAUUGGAUAAAGAACAUGCUGUUGUAUUACAGUGUAAACUACUGCUUGACUUUAAUUUUUCCCAGUAUUUUAUUAAUACUGUAGCAUAAAACUAAGUAUGCAUUAUGUUAACAUAUAAAACAAUAGUCAACAUUUGCCAAUCAAUUAUCUAAAAGGUGCCAGAUACAGGGUUAAAUAUUUUAUGUAUGUUGUGAUAUUUAGCUCUUAAAAUAUCCCUAGGAGGUUGGUACUGUUUUUAUCCUAUAGACUGGGGCUCCAAGGGGUUAAAAACUGUGCUUGAAGCAACCCUGAUGGCGAGUGGUGGGGCUUAGCACAGUAAUGCUGGGUCCUCUGGCCAGACCCCAUGCUCUAGAUGUAGGACCCGAGAGCCUUGAGGGUAUGUGAUGCUUGCUGUGAGAUUCUGGGUAAGUAACUGCAUACCCUUUACCUAUCAAAGAAGAGGAAGAGGCUGGGCGUGGUGGCUCACGCUUGUAUUCCCA